rnacentral:rRNA from 1 species
AUUGAACGCUGGCGGCAGGCUUAACACAUGCAAGUCGAGCGGGGUGAUGGUGCUUGCACUAUCACUUAGCGGCGGACGGGUGAGUAAUGCUUAGGAAUCUGCUUAUUAGUGGGGGACAACAUCUCGAAAGGGAUGCUAAUACCGCAUACGUCCUACGGGAGAAAGCAGGGGAUCACUUGUGACAUUGCGCUAAUAGAUGAGCCUAAGUCGGAUUAGCUAGUUGGUGGGGUAAAGGCCUAACAAGGCGACGAUCUGUAGCGGGUCUGAGAGGAUGAUCCGCCACACUGGGACUGAGACACGGCCCAGACUCCGACGGGAGGCAGCAGUGGGGAAUAUUGGACAAUGGGGGGAACCCUGAUCCAGCCAUGCCGCGUGUGUGAAGAAGGCCUUAUGGUUGUAAAGCACUUUAAGCGAGGAGGAGGCUCUUUUGGUUAAUACCCAAGAUGAGUGGACGUUACUCGCAGAAUAAGCACCGGCUAACUCUGUGCCAGCCGCCGCCGUAA